rnacentral:rRNA from 1 species
GACGAACGCUGGCGGCGUGCCAAAUACAUGCAAGUUGAGCGCUGAAGGUUGGUACUUGUACCAACUGGAUGAGCAGCGAACGGGUGAGUAACGCGUGGGGAAUCUGCCUUUGAGCGGGGGACAACAUUUGGAAACGAAUGCUAAUACCGCAUAAAAACUUUAAACACAAGUUUUAAGUUUGAAAGAUGCAAUUGCAUCACUCAAAGAUGAUCCCGCGUUGUAUUAGCUAGUUGGUGAGGUAAAGGCUCACCAAGGCGAUGAUACAUAGCCGACCUGAGAGGGUGAUCGGCCACAUUGGGACUGAGACACGGCCCAAACUCCUACGGGAGGCAGCAGUAGGGAAUCUUCGGCAAUGGACGAAAGUCUGACCGAGCAACGCCGCGUGAGUGAAGAAGGGUUUCGGAUCGUAAAACUCUGUUGGUAGAGAAGAACGUUGGUGAGAGUGGAAAGCUCAUCAAGUGACGGUAACUACCCAGAAAGGGACGGCUAACUACGUG